AUCUCUUUCGAGACCCCAGGUCAGUCG
rnacentral:rRNA from 1 species